GGAUGCGAUCAUACCAGCACUAAAGCACCGGAUCCCAUCAGAACUCCGAAGUUAAGCGUGCUUGGGCGAGAGUAGUACUAGGAUGGGUGACCUCCUGGGAAGUAGUACUAGGAUGGGUGACCUCCUGGGAAGUCCUCGUGUUGCAUUCC
rnacentral:rRNA from 1 species